rnacentral:rRNA from 1 species
UACGUAGGGCGCAAGCGUUGUCCGGAUUUAUUGGGCGUAAAGGGCUCGUAGGCGGUUUGUCGCGUCGGGAGUGAAAUCCACUGGCUUAACUGGUGGCUUGCUUUCGAUACGGGCAGACUGGAGGUAUGCAGGGGGAGAACGGAAUUCCUGGUGUAGCGGUGAAAUGCGCAGAUAUCAGGAGGAACACCGGUGGCGAAGGCGGUUCUCUGGGCAUGUCCUGACGCUGAGGAGCGAAAGUGUGGGGGAGCGAACAGG